AGACAGGCCAAUUCAUCCAUGAUCAGCAGGAAAAUCUCUGUAUUCUUAGGAGUAGAGAAGUCGUGGAGGGCUCCAUCUCUCAAGCAAACAGAUACUGAAUGAAAAGGAAGCUCAGAAUCUAGCUGGAAGUCCCAAAGUCCAAUCAAGGCCCCUCCAGGGAAAGAUUUUGAAAUUCUGAGCAUGUUUCAUGAUUGUACAUGAAUUAUGACCAGCUGUGGAAGGGAUGGAAGAGAAUCGUUUGUCUUAUAGCCUGACAGUUACAAAAAGCAGCUCAGUGUCUUGGAAAAGUACAACAUAAAGUACAAUGAGAAAGAAGAAAAUCAGAAGAAUACUUCACAAUUCACAAUAAAAAGUUAUAUACAGGCCAGGGCAUUACUCCAAGAUCUACUGACUACUCACUUCCUACAGUUCUGCCAAGAAAAAGUAAUAUACCUUUUACAAUGUAUACAGCAACUCUUACAGGUAAUCUGGACUUAGAGAUGGUGACUGGUCCAUGUUUCCUUGGUAUUGCUAUGAUCUGAACAUGGGGGCUUCCUUGUUCUGUUCCAACGCUCUUAUUAUUAUACCACACCAGCUUUCAGACAGGGUGGAAUGGUGUUCUUCAACCAGCAAAAUGGACACUACUGGCAAAUCAAAUUCCUCUCUCCUCACCGUUCCUUGUACAUACAGUAUUUAAAGAAUUUUCCGAAGGCCAAUCCUUGGAGAGGAUUAAGAAGAGGAACGUUGGAAAAAUUACUACAAUAUGAGCAGAGGUCCACUUGCAUUGAGUAUUUCCUUCCAAAAUAACUCUAAGUUCAAUGAGUCAGAAGCUUAACGAGUUUCCUCUCAGGAAACUGAUACAAGUCUUAGUGGCAUAACAUUUUUUUUAAAUGGAGAUUUUGCUUGUUGUAUUUGCUGAGAAAGUCAGAAUUUAUUUUCUUUGGGUACCAGACCUUGAGUUGGUGG